CGGGUGAGUAAUGCUUGGGAAUCUAGCUUAUGGAGGGGAUAACUACGGAAACUGUAGCUAAUACCGCGUAGUAUCGGAAGAUGAAAGUGUGGGACCUUCGGGCCACAUGCCAUAGGAUGAGCCCAAGUGGGAUUAGGUAGUUGGUGAGGUAAAGGCUCACCAAGCCGACGAUCUCUAGCUGGUCUGAGAGGAUGACCAGCCACACUGGGACUGAGACACGGCCCAG
rnacentral:rRNA from 1 species